GUAUUUAAAUAUAAAUAUGCUUAGUAGUUCAUUACGAAAAACUCAUCCUGUUUUACAAAUUGUAAAUAGAGCAUUAAUUGAUUUACCAUCACCUGUUAAUUUGUUAUUUGAGGAAAUUUUGAUU